AACACCAUUGGUUAAUACACGAUUCGUGUCCCUCUCUGUCUCGCUCUCUCAGUCUCUCAUUGCGCAAAAGGCAAAGCCUCUCUCUCUCACACGGUCAUCCUUGUUGGUCGCAGUGUCCUCUCUCUAUCUCUUUCGUACGCUUCUACGGUUCACCAUUAAUCCACAGCCGAUUGGUUUAUAGUUCUACACACGUGCCCCUCUCUUUCUCUAUCUAAAAUUCGCAAUCAGCAAACCCUAAAGUCUUCCCUGUUGGUCGCGCGUUGUCAUAUCAAUCAUGUCUUCGGCCGGAAACUCAGGCGGAGGCGGCGGCGGCGGCGGUGGUGGCGGCUCAGCCCCUCAACCCUACUUCUGCUACCAGUGCAGUCGUACGGUUUCAAUAACCCCCUCACCUUCCUCCGAACUCGUUUGUCCCAAUUGCAACGGCGGUUUCCUUGAAGAAUGUGAAAACCCUAACGCCAAUCCUAACCCUAACCCUAACCCUAACCCUAUCCCUACUCAUAAUCCAUUCUUCGGCUUCCCCUCCGACAAUUUAUCCGGCUUCCCUUCCUUCUCCGCUGGCUUCGGCGGUACCCCUGUCGUCUUCUCCACCGCCAGUGGUGGUGGAGGCGCCAGCGAAUUCCAAAACCCACCCGAUCUCUCCGCCCUAUUUGGCGGUCCUACCCGAUCGGCCACUCUUCAGAGCCCCGGCGAAUUUAAUCCUUUUGCAUUCCUUCAGAAUUAUCUCAAUAACCUCAGAGCAGGCGGGGCCACCAUCCAGUUCGUCAUCGACAACAACUCGUCUGAGUCCGGAUUCCGACUUCCUUCGAAUCUCGGCGACUAUUUCAUUGGUCCUGGGCUCGAGCAACUGAUUCAGCAGCUUGCAGAGAACGAUCCAAACCGGUACGGCACUCCACCGGCUUCAAAGUCGGCAAUCGAGGCUCUUCCGAAUGUCAAGAUAACCGAUGAAUUGCUUGUCUCUGAUUCUGCGCAGUGUGCAGUCUGUAAAGACACCUUUGAGCUUGGUGAGGAUGCAAGACAGAUGCCUUGUAAACACAUAUACCAUUCCGAUUGCAUUCUCCCUUGGUUGGAACUGCAUAAUUCUUGUCCGGUUUGUCGGUAUGAGUUGCCCACUGAUGAUCCUGAUUAUGAGAAUAGGGCUCAAGGAACAACAAUGCCUGCAAAUUCAAGCAUGGGUUCUGGGUUAGCAGCUUCUGGUAGUGGUGGUGGUGCUGCUGGGGCAUCUCAGGAAAGUCCUCUGACACCUCGAACUGUAGAGCGAAGGUUUAGGAUAUCUUUGCCCUGGCCGUUUAAUACUUUUGGAUCACCUGCAGAAGCAAGCAACAGCGAAGCUGGCAACAACAGCGGUAACAAUCAAGGAGGAUCAAACUCAGGAGGUCAGGCUAGAGAAGAAGAUCUCGACUAAGAGUUUUAUUGAUAACGAGUUAGUGUCAUACUACUCAUGCGGUCGUUGUGGAGUUUGGUUCUCCUGUACAACUGAUUGUGGAGCCAAUGAAUGAUCCCAUAGGGAACAGUGGGUCGAGCUUGUAACGGUGUUGAACUUAGAAGGAUCUCCGUAUACAUUCAAGAGUAGUGAUUUUGUAAUUUGAUAAAAAUAAGAGUAGGUAAAAUGUGUUUUCAAAUUUUUUUUUUCUUAGUUAAUGUGUUUUCAUUUUCCGAGUUCUUUUUACAAUUUCAUCAUUUUGUUGACUGAUAUAUGUGCAUUACUGGUUUGCAACUUCUGUAUAAUUAAUUAUUUUGGGACCAUUUCAUAUUA